rnacentral:rRNA from 1 species
GACAGGGGAUGGAAGCGUUAUCCGGAAUGAUUGGGCGUAAAGCGUCUGUAGGUGGCUUUUUAAGUCUGCCGUCAAAUCCCAGGGCUCAACCCUGGCCAGGCGGUGGAGACUACUAAGCUGGAGUACGGUAGGGGCAGAGGGAAUUUCCGGUGGAGCGGUGAAAUGCGUAGAUAUCGGAAAGAACACCAAGGGCGAAGGCACUCUGCUGGGCCGAAACUGACACUGAGAGACGAGAGCUAGGGGAGCAAAUGGG